ACACAUGAGGGAGUGAGGAAAUGAGACACAUGGAAGGGAUGGGGGAAUGAGACACAUGGGGAGCUGGAGGACUGAGACACAUGGGGAGUGGGGGAAUGAGACACAUGUGGGGCUGGGGGAAUUAGGCAAAUGAGGUGGUGGGAGAAUGAGACACAUGGGGGCUGGGAUAAUUAGACACUUCUGAGGACUAGGGGAAUGAGACAUAUGGAAGGGAUGGGGGAAUUGUGACACAUGGGGGGCUGGGGGACUGAGACACAUGGGAAGUGGAGGAAUGAGGUACAUGUGGGGCUGAGGGAAUGAGACUCAUGGUGGGGAGAAAAUGAGACACAUGGAAUGGAGGGGCUGCAGGGAACAAAAAUAGACAUAGAGAAGCUGGGGGUGAAAGAGACAAGGUGCCGGGGGAAAGAGACACACAGAAGGACUGAGAAGUGGGGGAAGAGACACACAAAAGAGGCUGGAGAGAGAAUGAAAAACACAGAGGGGCUGGGGGUACAAAAGGACACAGAGAGGCUGAGGAGGGGAAGUAACAGACCGACAGGGGCUGGGUAAGGGGUAGAAAAGACAAGCAUGGCCUGAAGGUGCAACACACGGACAAAGAGAUACAGAGAGGCUGUGGAGAGAUAGAGGCAAGGUGCUGGGGGAAAGAGACAAAGAAGGGAUGGGAGGAAGAGAUACACAAAAGGGACUGAGGGGAGAAAGAGACAUGGGGAAAGAAGAAAUAAAUACACAAAAGGGGCUAGGGGGAAGAGGUACACAGAGAGGAUGGGGAAAGGGAGAAAGAAACACAAAGGGGCUGGAGGAUGGGAAGUGACACACAGAAAGGCUGACACCCAAAGGGUGUUUAGGGUAUGACAAAGAGACACAGAUAAGCUGUGGGGAGAAAGAGACAUGGUGCUGGGAGAAGUGACACACAGAGGGGGUGGGGGGGAAAGAGACAGAGGAGAUGAGGAAGAGGAGAAAGAGACACACAAAGGAGAUGGGAAAGAAGGAGACACACAAAAGGGUUGGGGUAGAAAGAAACACACAAAGAAUCUGGAGGAAGGAAGAAACACACAAAAGGGUUGAGUGGAGAAAAAGACGCACAAAGAGGCUGGGUGGAGAAAGAGACACACAAAGGGGCUGGGUGGAGAAAGAGACACACAAAGGGGCUGGAGUAAAAGAUACAUAAAUGGGCUGGAGGGGAGUAAGAGACACACAAAGGGACUGGAGGGAAGUAAAAGAAACACAAAAGGGGUGCUAGGGGAAAGAGACACACAGAGGGACUGUGAAGUGGGGGAAGAGACACACCAAAGGUGCUGGAGAGAGAAAGAGACACACAGAGGGGCUCGGGGUACAAAAGGACACAGAGAGGCUGAGGAAGGGGAAAAAGAGACAGCCAAGGGCUGGGUAAGGGUAGAAGAGACAAGUAUGGCCUGGGGGUGCGACACACCCAGAGGUUUUUCAGGGACAAAGAGACACAGAGAGGCUGUGGAGAGAUAGAGACAAGGUGCUGGGGGAAGUGACACACAGAGGGGCUGGGGGAAAAGAGACACAGAGGGGAUGGGAGGAAGAGAUACACAAAAUGGGCUGAGGGGAGAAAGAGGGAUGGGGAUGGGGAAAGGGAGAAAUAAAUACACAAAAGGGGCUAGGGGGAAGAGGUACACAGAGAGGAUGGGGAUAGCGAGAAAGAAACACAAAGGGGCUGGAGAAUGGGAAGUGACACACAGAAAGGCUGACACCCAAAGGGUGUUAGGUAUGACAAAGAGACACAGAGAAUCUGUGGGGAGAAAGAGACAUGGUGCUGGGAGAAGUGACACACAGAGGGGAUGUGGGGAAGGAGACAGAGGGGAUGGGGAAGAAGAGAAAGAGACACACGAAGGAGCUGGGAUAGAAAGAGACACACAAAAGGGUUGGGGUAGAAAGAGACACACAAAGAAUCUGGAGGAAGAAAGAAACACACAAAAGGGUUGGGUGGAGAAAAACACAUAUAAAGAGGCUGGGUGGAGAAAGAGACACACAAAGGGGCUGGAACAAAAGAGACAUAAAUGGGCUGGAGGGGAGUAAGAGAAACACAAAAGGGCUGGAGGGAAGUAAGAAGCACACAAAAGGACUGUGGGGUGUAAGAGACACACAAAGGGAAGAAAUGGGGGCAUUAGGUAUACUAAAGGGGAGUGUAAAACAAUAGGGGAUAUGAUGCACUAAAGACAAUGAAAAAAUAAGAUAAAGGGGGUAAGAAACUCAAAAGGUGGAUUAAGGGACACAGGUGAAGAUGCAUUUUUGGGGGGGAAACUGUGGGGGUGGCAAAAUGCAUUCUCCCCUGUGUAGUCAAAAUCCUUGCACCGGUCCUGGGUAUACUCCAAACACCAUAACCAUUACAGCUUAUUAUAGUAGUUAUGGUACCAGGAUUACCUAGCGUCCUCCCUGAGUAAGCAGUCAAACUGUUUAAGAAUGUUUUACAACAUACCCAGAUGCUCAUUGCCCAGAUGCAUGGGGCUUCCAUCAGCUCCACUGAAUUAAGCUCUUCCAUACAGGGAAGGCUCAUUGGCUGAGUGUGUCAACUGAGCGCUCUCAGCCAGUGGGUACAACCCUACAUUUCUCAACCUAGCUCAGUGGCAG